rnacentral:lncRNA from 1 species
UGAAGUUGAAGUAGCUUUUUGUGUUGUGUCUCAUUGAACAGGAUCUUAGUUGUAAUAAUAAUGGGUGGAGUUACCUCAUCCAUGGCUUCAAAACUUGCAUUCUUCCCACCAAACCCACCUUCUUACAACCUUGUCAAAGAAGAAGUAACAAAGCUUUUGCUCUUAAACCCAUUCCCACACCGUGAAAACGUUCAAGUUCUCAAGUUCCAAAACCGUCGCGGAAAUGAGAUCGUGGCUAUGUAUGUUAGCUACUCUAUGGCAAAAACAACUAUCCUUUAUUCUCAUGGUAACGCUGCUGAUAUUGGUCAGAUGUAUGAGCUCUUCAUCGAGUUGAGCAUUCACUUGCGUGUUAAUAUCAUGGGGUACUUCAAUUUUUCAUUUUUCCUCUUUUUACUCCAUAUAAAAAUUCAAUUUUUUUAUUUUACUUUUGGAAUUUUGUGAAGUGGUUUUAUAAUUUACAUACCCUUUUGGAUUCUGUACAUGUAAUAGGUGUUUUUAUGUGAUUGGUAGUUGUAAUUUUUUUAGCUAAAUUUUGGUGGUGGUGUGUGUGCCACUGUGCCUUUUGGGUACAAGUUCAGUACUUCAGUAGUGUUGAUUCAGCUCUGGGGAAGCUUGGUUGGACUGUUUUUUCUUGGAUUUACCAGGUUCUGAUGUUGAUGGAUUUGUUGAUAUGAAUAAUUUAUUGACUUUAUUAAGGUUUGAUUAGUUAAAUAUGUGAUCAAUUUUGUCUACUAAGAAGGUUAGGGGCAAAUUGUAAUUUUCUGGUUCUGGUUCCUCUACAGACCUGCAUCAACAGUAUUAUAAAUUUAUGAUGUGAAUGCUGAGCCAUAUGUUUUUUCUGUGGUUCUAGCGUCUUUGGAAUUUAGUGAUUUGGAGGUGUGGGUGUAGUAUACUAGUAUUCCAUCAUUUUCAAUAAUAAUUUACUAUCAGCUAAGUUGGAUAUUUUUUAGGUUGUUCCAGAAAUUGAUGUGACAUCAGUUAAGCUCAAUGGCAGGUUUUAUGUAUUGCAGGAAGUGCGAUUUUUUGUCCACAGUGUGACCAAAGCAUUUUUUUCCCGAUCUAUCAUUAGCAGAUAUUCUUGAUGUUUUAACUUAUAAGUGUUGCAUAAAUUGGUUUGUAUGGUUGAAUUGCUAGCUUCUAAACAUUGCCAUUCCCCCUUCAAGACCUUGACUUUAAGUCCAUAUAGUUUGACGGCUUACAUCUAAUUUAGAGCUUGCAGUAACAACUCCGAUGCCUGAUACAAAUGAAAUUGUAAACUCUGGUGCAUUGGUUUUGAAAUAAUGAUGAAGGAAACUUAUGCUGGAGUUACCUUGAUAUACUAAUGAUAUACAUUCAAGCAUUUAGAGUUCGGACACAAAUAUACUAUGUUCACUUUUUGCCCUCUAACAGUUAUGUUUGAGACAGUACUUUUUGAAUUGCCCAUCUAUUAAUCAUCCUCGUUUAAAUUACUCCAAAAAGGAUCCACUUACAGAAAAUGAUAAAGGAACGUUAAAGUACUAUACCUGCUUGUCACAUGAUAGUUGUCUUUGUUAACACAUUUUCUAGUCAGAUUUUAUUAUGUUAAUGAUGUUUUGAAGCACCUUGUUUCAAUGUGUGCAGAUAUGAUUACUCUGGCUAUGGACAGUCAUCAGGGAAGGUAGUUACACUUCUGUCUGCUUUAUUUGAUUUUUUUGAUCUCAUCCGACAAAAGCAUCCUGAAAAACUUAUCUGGAUAUUUUUCACAGCCCAGUGAGCAUAAUACUUAUGCUGACAUUGAAGCUGCAUAUAAGUAUCUUGAAGAGAACUACGGUGCCAAACAGGAAGACAUAAUCCUUUAUGGUCAAUCUGUUGGAAGCGGCCCUACUUUGGAUCUUGCUGCCCGCUUACCCCGACUAAGGGCCAUUGUUCUCCACAGUCCUAUAUUAUCGGGCUUGAGAGUAAUGUACCCUGUGAAACGGACAUACUGGUUUGACAUUUAUAAGGUCAGAUCUUCAUUGUCCUGUGAUUUGGGAAUUAUUUAUUGUUGUUGCAGUUUGGUAUUUAUGUAUACUAGCCUACUACUGCCUUAACUUAGUUCUUUUUAUUGUUGUGCAGAACAUUGACAAAAUUCCCUUGGUGAAAUGUCCAGUGCUAGUAAUCCAUGUAAGUAUUCCAUGUUCAUUUUGUUGCAUUCUCCACAAACAAUUAUCAUGUUCUCUUAAUUUCUGUGGUUGCUGUAACUGGUAUAAAUCAACGUUUUCUGCAAUGGUUGUAGUGUUGAACUCAUUGCUCAGCUUUGUGUUCAAAUUGACCUGACAAAUAGAAUCUCUUUAAUGCAAAAAGCCUGCAUAUUGUUGUGUAGUAUCUGCAUUUUCCUGCUUACAAUUGUAAUGAAAAUCAUGAUAUCAAUUGAUAAAUAGAAUACAGUGGUUUUCGUAGCACAAGCUUGUUAAAACAAAAGGUUGGAGUCUGUUCAUUAUGGCAAAACAUCACAGCAUCAUUGUAGAAGAGAAAUCAACCUUUGUUUCUGAUAUAAACUUUUAAAAUUGUAUUCUUGUGAAUAUUAUAGAGGGUGAUCCUCGGCACAACGGUAUGGUUGUUUGCCUUGUGACCCAGAAGUCAUGAGUUCAAAUUCUAGAAACAACUUCUUUGCUUGUAAGGGUAAAGCUGUGUAAAUCUACCCUCCCUAGAUCCCACUAGUUGGAGCAUCGAGCACUAAGCCACCCUUUUUAUUCUUGUGAAUAUUAUAACAUAAUACAUUGCUUUUCUGUAGUUAUUUUUUUGGGCACAAAGCAUUUCAUAUAGCUUUCACUAAUUUGACAUUGUUCCCAUACUUUCUUCAGGGAACUGCUGAUGAGGUUGUUGAUUGCUCUCAUGGCAAGCAGUUGUGGGAGUUAUGUCAACAGAAAUAUGAACCUUUAUGGCUCAGAGGUGGAAAUCACUGUAAUUUAGAACUCUAUCCAGAAUAUCUUCGGCAUCUCAGAAAAUUCAUAUCAACAGUAGAGAAGUCACCAUCACAAAGACUAAGUUUUAGGAGAAGCAUUGAGCAAUCAAGAGGGAGUAUCGAUUUUUUCCAAACUCCAAGGAAGAGUACCGAUCAAAGGGACAAAUCAAGGAAGAGUACUGAUCGGAAGGACAAACCAAGGAAGAGUACUGAUAGGACAGACAAACUGAAAUUUCAUGAACACAAAGUCAACAAUCCAGAAAAUAUAGAGAAGUUUAGAGUCCAUUUUGACCAGAUGGAAAAGUCACGAAGAAGCAUAGGUUACGAUAAAUUGAGAACGAUCGAGUACCAAGAUAAAUCCAGGAGAAGCGUCGAUGUUCAGUUUGAUAGACCGCGGAAGAGUAUUGAUUGGCUGGAUAGAACUCGAGAUGGUUGAACCUUUUGAAGCAUCUGUAGUAUUGGUACUGGGUUUGCUACAUGUGAGGGGAAAGUACAAAGAUACAGGCACAAUUACUUAUACUGGGGGUAUAACUUAUGGUUUUCAGAAUGCAUACCACAUCUGUAAAUUUUCCGGAAUAGUUACAUUCUAAAAUUACAUACAUGAUUUUUUUAAAAUAUAAACUAUAUAUAUAGAUGUUUGAGAAUAUUUUUCUCCUAUUUAAAUUUUCUAAAUUUGACUCCAUGUAUUAAGAUUUUAAUAUAAUUAUAGGAAUAUGUUAUUUUUUCUUUUAAAUGUUGGAAAAAAAUACACAUAUGAUUUAUAUAUAUUAUAAAUGUUUGAGAAAAUUAUCUUCCUUCUCAAUUUGAUUCAAAUUAUUGGGAUUUCAAUUUGAUUUUAGAAAAGAAGAUGUUUUGUUUAAGUUGAGAAAAAUUACACAUACAUUAUUACUUUUAUUGAUAUAAACUAGAUAUAUUUUAUAGAUAUUUGAGAACAUUUUCCAUUCAAUACGUUUUUUGAUUUUGACUCAAAUUAUUGGAAUUUCAAUACAAUUUUAGGGUGAAAUUUUUGUUGUUCUAAAAGUUGAGAAAAUGGCACAUGGUGACUAUUUAAAUAUCAACUAUAUAUAUUAUAGAUGUUUGAUAGUAUUCUCUUUAAAUGUGUCUUAUGAAUUUGAUUUCAAUUAUUGGAAUUUAAAUAUAAUUUAUGAAAGAAGUUGAUUUUUUAUUUUAAAAGUUGAGGAAAAUGAUACAUACAUAAUUCUGUUUUUAAAUAACAAUUAUAUAUAAAUUUUAUAGAUGUUUGAGAAUAUUUUCUCUUUAAAUAUGCCUUACCAUUUUGAAUGGAAUUAUUGGUAUUUCAAUAUAAUUAUAAAAAAGAUAAUUUUCUCUUUUAAAAGUUGAAAAAAUGGUGCAGAGAUAAUUUAUUUUUAAAAUACCAACUGUGUCAUAAAUGUUUGAUAACAUUUCCCCUUUAAGCAUGUUCUAUCAAUCUCACUCCAUUUAUUAGAAUUCAAAUAUAUUUUAGGUAAAGAUAAUUAUUCUUUUAGAAAUUGAGAAAAAAUGGUAUACACAUAAUUUUUUUAAGAGUUUAAAAUCUAUACACUAUCGAUAUAUCACUCACCAUUGAUUUGUAAUAAUUUUGUUUGAAAGUCAAUACUAACUAACAAAUGGAUGAAGAGAUUUACCAAAGUAUAAAAAAUACUUACAUAUUAAAUCUUUUUUUUAACCCUUAAAACUGAAAUUAGAAAAUAAGUUCAGCAAACUCAAGUUGAGUUCACAUUGUUAAAAGCAAGAACAAAAUCACCCAUCUCAAAAUAAUAAUAAUAAGUGCCCAAAAAAAGAAGGAGAAGGAGAAAAGGAGUAAUGUGAAGUUGAAGUAGCUUUUUGUGUUGUGUCUCAUUGAACAGGAUCUUAGUUGUAAUAAUAAUGGGUGGAGUUACCUCAUCCAUGGCUUCAAAACUUGCAUUCUUCCCACCAAACCCACCUUCUUACAACCUUGUCAAAGAAGAAGUAACAAAGCUUUUGCUCUUAAACCCAUUCCCACACCGUGAAAACGUUCAAGUUCUCAAGUUCCAAAACCGUCG